UACGGGGGGGGCAAGCGUUGUUCGGAAUUACUGGGCGUAAAGGGGACGUAGGCGGCCAACUAAGUCCGACGUGAAAUCCCAAGGCUUAACCUUGGAACUGCGUCGGAUACUGGAUGGCUUGAAUUCGGGAGAGGGAUGCAGAAUUCCAGGUGUAGCGGUGAAAUGCGUAGAUAUCUGGAGGAAUACCGGUGGCGAAGGCGGCAUCCUGGACUGGUCCUGACACUCAGGAGCGAAAGCGUGGGGAGCGAUCCGG
rnacentral:rRNA from 1 species